UACGUAGGGUGCAAGCGUUGUCCGGAAUUAUUGGGCGUAAAGAGCUCGUAGGUGGCCUGUCGCGUCGGCUGUGAAAACUCGGGGCUCAACUCCGAGCUUGCAGUCGAUACGGGCAGGCUAGAGUUCGGCAGGGGAGACUGGAAUUCCAGGUGUAGCGGUGAAAUGCGUAGAUAUCUGGAGGAACACCGGUGGCGAAGGCGGCAUCCUGGACCGGCAUUGACGCUGAGGCGCGAAAGCCAGGGGAGCAAAGCGGG
rnacentral:rRNA from 1 species